GGGGAUAGCCAGCGCAUUUGUGUGAAAGAUGCUGUGUGUGCACUGCAGAGCAUGGUGCAGAGGCUUUUCUGUGACUUUAUUGGACGUUUGCAAUCCAAAUGCAGUACUGCCCUUCUUUGGAUUGAGUAAUGAUCUUUUAGAAGAAAAUAAAUCAAAUUAGAAUUAUUAUCAAAAAUAUCCCCAGAUGAAAAGAUUAAAUCAUUUUGGCUAACAGCUGUUAGGCUUAGGCCUAUACCAUUUUGAUCUUCAAAAAAAAUUCGACUAUUCCAACUGGCAUUCCUGGGAGCCUGAUAACUAUGAAGGAAAUGAACACUGCAUUGCCAUCAACAACCGUGGUAGUGGUGUUUGGAUAUCUCUGAUAUGAAACUUUCCUUCUUCCUGACCGACAAAUAAAUAAAUGCAUCAGCACAA